CCUACGGGUGGCAGCAGUGAGGAAUAUUGGUCAAUGGGCGUAAGCCUGAACCAGCCAAGUCGCGUGAGGGAUGAAGGUUCUAUGGAUCGUAAACCUCUUUUAUAAGGGAAUAAAGUGUGGGACGUGUCCUAUUUUGUAUGUACCUUAUGAAUAAGGAUCGGCUAACUCCGUGCCAGCAGCCGCGGUAAUACGGAGGAUGCGAGCGUUAUCCGGAUUUAUUGGGUUUAAAGGGUGUGUAGGCGGUUUUUUAAGUUAGUGGUUAAACGUCGGGGCUUCACCUUGAUUUGCCAUUAAUACUGUAAGACUCGAGUUCAGACGAGGUAGGCGGAAUAAGUUAAGUAGCGGUGAAAUGCUUAGAUAUAACUUAGAACUCCGAUAGCGAAGGCAGCUUACCAGACUGCGACUGACGCUGAAGCACGAGAGCGUGGGUAGCGAACAGGAUUAGAUACCCCUGUAGUC
rnacentral:rRNA from 1 species